ensembl:lncRNA
UGUCCAUUCAGGCCUGAAGCUCCCCUACACUGGACUGGAGGCCCGCUAGGAGGCAUGACCUCUCCCGAGCUGAUCCACAAUUCGGAAGCACGUUGGUAUUUCAAAAUGAACACAGCACACAGGUUUAUAAGAGGAAUCUGGGACCAGGAGUAUAAAUUAGAAAUUGAUGCUACAGAGUCAGGCAUAGUCCCACUGUCCCAGGAAGGUGGACUUGGGGGUCUUUUUGCUUAUUCUUUGAGCAGAUAUUGGCUUCUUCCUUCUCUGUGCUGAGCACUGGGCAGGAAGGAAGGCUGGGAGCAAAGAUGGACACAGGCUUCUGUGGCUGUCCUUGAGGAGGUGUUUGCUCCAUGUAAUUAAGGACAGCGGAUCGCUGAGAGCUCUUUCCUCACUUUUCAAUCACAAACAUUCCAUUAGUCACACUGCCUUGGAAGACCUUUGACAGCCUCGUGGGUAGAAUGGGCGCUGACUGGCACGGUGCAGAAAAUUCCUGCUGUAGGCUAACGGCGUGGACAGUUUUGGAUGGAAAGGAGCUGUAUGCCCCGAGUGAGAGGUUGGGCAAAGACAGAAAUGGCCAGAGGGUUAGUUUAGGGUGAGGCAAGCGAGGCAGGCUUGUGCCAGUGCAGGAGCAGAGCUGAUCUUUAUUUAAAACUGUGAUAGUUUGUCUGUCAUGGAUCUCUUGGCAUGAACUUCGAUCUCAAGAAAUACCACAUUAAGAUAUUCUUUACCUUGAUUACCGAAUGUUCUGGCCCCUUUAAAGUUUGUACCCGAGCCUGGUGCCUCACUGCCCUCACCCUAGUUCUGGCUCUGCGUGCACUUACUUUCUUUACUCUUCAUCCCUGAAACCUGGCAGAGAUCAGGCCCUCCAGGAAGCUGCAGCAUGUUAUUCCUCCAGUUUCAUAAAAUUCCAGACCACAUUUCUGGGCACCUUUGUCAAAGAAGCGCCAAGAUAUGUGAGGGUCUCUCUACAAGACCGAGUGCCAGGGCUCCUUGAAGGCAGUGUGGCUGGUCCGUCUCCACCUAUGAACUCACCUGUGGCUUUUGAGAAAUCCCUUAAGCAAUCUGGUCUCCACUUCUCCAUUGGCAAAAUGAGGGGAUGGGACAGAUGUUCUUACCUGAGGCUCAGUCUUCUGUGUUGCUCUGCAUUCCCUGGUGGACCGUGGGGGAGAGACCAUGGCAGGCACAUCCCCAGGCCAGGCCCUCUUGAGAGUCAUGGACUGAGAAAAAGUCAGUAUGAAAAACCAUUGGUGUUUCAAACGAAAGUGCUGAAGUGAUGUUCUCUGGGUGUGAGCAAGGGAGGGAAUGUUUAUUGGUCUCUCAAACUUCUUCUGAGAGCAUACGACUUGUGCUAGCUGUUGAGGGAAGCACAGAGGGGGUUUAGGGAGAGCUCGCACCUGCCCUGGGCUGGUGGGCAGAGUCUUGGGGAUGGAUUGCUGUCCGGAGUGAGAGGGAGAGGAUGACACAGGCUAAAUGGUGUGUGGAAAGUAAGUCCAGACAUGUAUUUUAAGGACAAUCUGGCGAGGAUUCUUGGAAAUGGGGAGUCUUGAAGGAUGUGCUUCUAAUGCUGGCAAAUGCUGUGAACCCAAAGAGGAGCCUGGGCCAUUGGUCAGGGUCUCUGAAGAAAGCAGAUGGAAGGAAGCAGAUGGUGCCCGCAAAUGGAAAAAUCAAUCAGUCAAUAAGUGGACUAGUUAUAGCAGUUCAGGGAUGGUUAAGGGAAAAUCAGCAAGGGACAGGGAAGCACUUUGGGACAGCAUUGGAGAGCCUUUACCAUCCCGGACCUGAACGAGAAGGGGAGAGGAUGCUCCAGGACCUAGAAGCAGCUGUCAGUGUAGAUGAAGGCCAGGACAGGAGCCGAGGCUUUCAGGACCAGAGCAGCUGGGGUCAGAGUUGGGAGUCAGCCUUGCUCCACUCUCUUCCGCACUCCCAUCUCUUGUCGGCAUUUCCACGGGAUGGACCUUGAGUGAUAUCGUUCGGACAGGGCAGUGUCCCGGGGCCCAGACCAGGGUGGAGAGGGAGUCUGGAGGUAGCUCACUGGGCUGGAUGGUGGGGUAAUCAAGUGAAACUUCUUCUGUGCCCAUGAUUGCAUGGUUAAAGGGUGGAGGAGGAGCGUGAGCCUUCACACCCUUGCUCACUUACUGCUCACAACACCCAGCUGGGAGUGCUCAUUACCUCUGUUUUUCAAGCGAGGAUUGACAGUUGUCUCAGCCAGCUGCAAGUCCGCGAGUGUUUCUAGUGGGGGUGGGGAGGGGAGUUUGACCUCCUGGGGCCCCUGCAGGGGGAUUUGGUUCUGCCGCUGUGCUGUGAUCUCAAGGCUCUGUCAUGGAUUGGAAUGAAAACUGAGCUUUUCCAGUCCUGUGGCCACUGCUGAGUUUUCCAAAUUUGCUGGCAUAUUGAGUGCAGCACUUUGUCAACAAAGGUCCGUCUAGUCAAGACUAUGGUUUUCCCAGUGGUCAUGUAUGGAUGUGAGAGUUGGACUGUGAAGAAGGCUGAGUGCCGAAGAAUUGAUGCUUUUGAACUGUGGUGUUGGAGAAGACUCUUGAGAGUCCCUUGGACUGCAAGGAGAUCCAACCAGUCCAUUCUGAAGGAGAUCAGCCCUGGGAUUUCUUUGGAAGGAAUGAUGCUAAAGCUGAAACUCCAAUACUUUGGCCAUCUCAUGUGAAGAGUUGACUCAUUGGAAAAGACUCUGAUGCUGGGAAGGAUUGGGGGCAGGAGGAGAAGGGGACGACAGAGGAUGAGAUGGCUGGAUGGCAUCACUGACUCAAUGGACGUGAGUCUGAUUGAACUCCGGGAGUUGGUGAUCACAGGGAGGCCUGGCGUGCUGCGAUU